GACAGAGGGUGCAAACGUUGUUCGGAAUUACUGGGCGUAAAGCGCGUGUAGGCGGCCCUGCAAGUCGGAUGUGAAAUCCCACGGCUCAACCGUGGAAGUGCAUUCGAAACUGCAGGCUAGAGUCCUGGAGAGGAAGGUGGAAUGCUUGGUGUAGAGGUGAAAUUCGUAGAUAUCAAGCGGAACACCGGUGGCGAAGGCGGCCUUCUGGACAGUGACUGACGCCGAGACGCGAAAGCGUGGGGGAGACA
rnacentral:rRNA from 1 species